rnacentral:rRNA from 1 species
GAUGAACGCUGGCGGCGUGCCUAAUACAUGCAAGUCGAGCGAAUGGAUUGAGAGCUUGCUCUUAUGAAGUUAGCGGCGGACGGGUGAGUAACACGUGGGUAACCUGCCCAUAAGACUGGGAUAACUCCGGGAAACCGGGGCUAAUACCGGAUAACAUUUUGAACCGCAUGGUUCGAAAUUGAAAGGCGGCUUCGGCUGUCACUUAUGGAUGGACCCGCGUCGCAUUAGCUAGUUGGUGGGGUAACGGCCCACCAAGGCAACGAUGCGUAGCCGCCCUGAGAGGGUGAUCGGCCCCCCUGGGACUGAGACACGGCCCAGACUCCUACGGGAGGCAGCAGUAGGGAAUCUUCCGCAAUGGACGAAAGUCUGACGGAGCAACGCCGCGUGAGUGAUGAAGGCUUUCGGGUCGUAAAACUCUGUUGUUAGGGAAGAACAAGUGCUAGUUGAAUAAGCUGGCACCUUGACGGUACCUAACCAGAAAGCCACGGCUAACUACGUGCCAGCCGCCGCCGUAA